rnacentral:siRNA from 1 species
CCGUUUGUCAAUGCCCACUUCCU